ACUCAAAUGAAUAGACGGGGACCCGCACAAGCAGUGGAGCAUGUGGUUUAAUUCGACGAUACGCGAAAAACCUUACCUGGGUUUGACAUCCUCGGAACCCCGCAGAGACGCGGGGGUGCCUUCGGGAGCCGAGAGACAGGUGGUGCAUGGCUGUCGUCAGCUCGUGUCGUGAGAUGUUGGGUUAAGUCCCGCAACGAGCGCAACCCUUGUCUAGUGUUACCAUUCCGCAAGGAGGGACUCUCUAGAGACUGCCUGUAAAAAGCAGGAGGAAGGUGGGGACGACGUCAAGUCAUCAUGCCCCUUACAUCCAGGGCUACACACAUGCUACAAUGGCCGGUACAAAGGGCCGCAAGCCAGCGAUGGCAAGCUAAUCUCAUAAAACCGGUCUCAAUUCGGAUUGGAGGCUGCAAUUCGCCUCCAUGAAGCCGGAAUUGCUAGUAAACGCGCAUCAGCACGGCGCGUUGAAUACGUUCCCGGGUCUUGUACACACCGCCCGU
rnacentral:rRNA from 1 species